UCGGCGCAAGCCAUUUUCGGCACUCCGCCAAAACAUUCCGCGGGAGGCUGAUAACAAGCAAGCAAGACAACAUGCAUGUCACAGUCAUGGGAAACCUGGCCAUCGUUCUUCUACUAGUGUGCAUUGUGUCAAGUUAUGGGGCUUUUCCAAAGCAUUAUCCUUUUCCUGACUUUGGAAGUGAUAUUCCAUGUGAUCUCCCCUAUGAUCUCGGGAAAUCUUGCAAAAUCCACGCCGACUGCUGCAAGGAUUUGGUUUGUGAAAGUGGAUCUUGCCAGGUUCCCUGAACUGAAAUGGACUGCGGCGCCAGUGCUACAAAUGCUACAAUGAGGAAGAUUGGGAUGCUUCCAAGAAACGCUACGGUCUUGUAAUCUCAGAUUAAAUAAACAAUUACGCACCUCA